rnacentral:misc_RNA from 1 species
GAUGAAGAACGCAGUGAAAUGCGAUACGUAAUGUGAAUUGCAAAUUCAGUGAAUCAUCGAGUCUUUGAACGCACAUUGCGCCCCCUGGUAUUGCGGGGGGCAUGCCUGUCCGAGCGUCAUUGCUGCCCUCAAGCACGGCUUGUGUGUUGGGCCCCGUCCUCCGAUCCCGGGGGACGGGCCCGAAAGGCAGCGGCGGCACCGCGUCCGGUCCUCGAGCGUAUGGGGCUUUGUCACCCGCUCUGUAGGCCCGGCCGGCGCUUGCCGAUCAACCCAAAUUUUUAUCCAGGUUGACCUCGGAUCAGGUAGGGAUACCCGCUGAACUUAAGCAUAUCAAUAAGCGGAGGA